GGCCGAUCUCACAGGUCCCCACCCCUAGCUGAAGAGCCACAGGCAGUAGAUGGCUGCUGACAGAGGGCUAAUCUGUUUCUCCUAGGAUGAGCUCCCUGAUCAGGUGGUAUCAUCUCCACUGCACUUUGAUAUCAGUGUAGGUCAUCAGCAAACCAAUACACCCAGCAGUUGUGGGAAAAAGAACUACAGAACAUCUGAUGUGUCCCCCGCAGGGAGAACAUCUAUCUGCUCAUGGGCCUACAUACCCCACCCUCGAGGAGGAGGACUGUGGUGGCUGGGCCUGUGGGAUUCCCCACCACCUCGCCCAGCAGCUGACACCUGCAGACACUUAUGGACUCUUGUAAACAUUGGUUGAAAGGAUUGAUGGAUGGCAGAGAGCUUGGCUCUACCUUCUGGAUGAGUCUGGACCAUUUCUUCUCCGACGAGCAGAAAGAGGUGGAGAAGACAGAACACGGCUAUAAAAUACCACCAGGGUUACCCGGGACCUAAAUCUGCUCUUGGGAGUGCCUGUACACGUGUUUUGUAGUACAGUACGAUAAAAGGAGCACUAGUCCCACCCUUCUGAACACCCAUCUAGAGGCAUACUGCAGGGAGACACCCAGCAAGCAGGGUGCAUCAGCUGGGUGCAUGUAAAAUCUGUUUGUUUGUUUGUUUUCCAUCCCAACAACUUAAUUCCCAGCAAUAACAACUCUGAGACUGAUUAAUAAACUAAUAAAUGCUUAGGUCAUAAA